rnacentral:pre_miRNA from 9 species
UUUCGAUAGCGUAAAAGUUAAAUCAAAUUUUUACGCAGUUGGAACGUUUGCCGCUAGUGGCGCUGUUCCAACUGCAUACAAAUUUUAGUUAACUUUUACGCUAUCGA